UACGUAAGGACCGAGCGUUGUCCGGAAUCAUUGGGCGUAAAGGGUACGUAGGCGGCUAGAAAAGUUAGAAGUCAAAGGCUAUAGCUCAACUAUAGUAAGCUUCUAAAACUAUUUAGCUUGAGAAAUGGAAGGGAAAGUGGAAUUCCUAGUGUAGCGGUGGAAUGCGCAGAUAUUAGGAAGAAUACCGGUGGCGAAGGCGACUUUCUGGCCAUUAUCUGACGCUGAGGUACGAAAGCGUGGGUAGC
rnacentral:rRNA from 1 species